UACGGAGGGGGCUAGCGUUGUUCGGAAUUACUGGGCGUAAAGCGCGCGUAGGCGGACCUGCAAGUCGGGGGUGAAAGCCCGAGGCUCAACCUCGGAACUGCCUUCGAUACUGCGGGUCUCGAGUCCGGGAGAGGUGAGUGGAAUUCCUAGUGUAGAGGUGAAAUUCGUAGAUAUUAGGAAGAACACCAAGUGGCGAAGGCGGCUCACUGGCCCGGUACUGACGCUGAGGCGCGAAAGCGUGGGGAGCAAAGCAGG
rnacentral:rRNA from 1 species